CCGCCCCCAGCCCCCACUGCGGAGGUGCCCCGUGGCCGCGGCUGGGUCCAGGAAGGCUGGGACUGCCCGGUGGUGAGGGCCUGAUAGGACCUGCAUCCUUACAAGAGCGCAGCAAUCCCAUCCCCUGGUCCUGUAAAUCCCCCUCGCCGUGGCUUCUGUUCCCAGGAAGCAGACCGAGACUGGGAUUCGGACCCAUGCCCCUCACUGAGUGGGCUCCGGAGGGACCAGUGAUGCCACAUGGGCAGAGGAAGAAAUAACUAGGGUUUCUGCUGGAGAUUCGCCUCAGAGUAAACCACGCCAUCGUUUUUCCAGCUUGGAGGAAGAGGGCCGGCCUGCUGUCACUCAGGUCCGCCAGUGGCUGGGGCAUGGCCCCAGGGGCACAACCUCCAGGUGAGGGGACUCCUCUGGCUGGAGGGGCAGCACCGUCCGACUAAAGCAACCCCGGACUCAGACGCGCGUUGUGAUGUGGAGCCCAGGAAAAGUCUCCCCUUCUCUUCUCCCUUCACCACCCGCCUGCCAGCCCACCUCACCCGCUGCUCUGACGACAGAAUUUUCUCUUGCUUUCCUCAAGUUCCAGGGGAGGAGGAGGAGUUGAUGCAAGCCUGGCAUUAGCCACGUGGAGCACAGGCCCAGGGAGGGAAGACUGUGCCGGACCUUCCAUAAUUGGAUUCUUCAUCAGGAACCGAAGCUCACCCCCGGCGGCUGGCAUUGUAAGAGACUCUGGUCUCAGGCCUUCUGGCUGAAAGAGCGGCCAGGACCUCACUCCCACCUCCACAAUCCUCAUAAACAGCCUGAAGUGUUUGGCGGUUUCAACCGAAAGGCCUAUUUUCUGAUCAGUUACACAGGGGUAAACGUGCUAACAUCCUCAUGGAUUCAUGGAAUUGUUCUGGAAAUUACAUGUCCAGGAAUGUGGAGAUGGGAGAACACUCGGCAGUAGAACUUGCCGCAGACGUGGGAAACUCCCACACAACCUUGCUGGCACCUGCAGCCUCCUCAGGGCCGGAUACUGGAUAUCCCUUUGCUUUUGCCUCUGCAAACGCUCAACUCUGGAGAAGGUGGCGUCGGGGAGGGGCGGCCCCAGAACCUGCCGUGGCCUCUGCAUACGAAGUAAUUGGCGGGGUAGGAUUCGAAUCUCCGUGACAGUGGAGACCAGAGCCCUCACCCAGGGCUUCGGGCCGCUUAGACGCUUGUCCUGCACACGCACGCACACGCACACACACACACACACACACACACACACACACACACACACUCGGUUCAGAGCGGUCUCCAGGGUUGAGAAGACACCCCAGGAGGCCCCGUGCGCAUCACCCGCUCCCUUUGGCACUGGCGUCGGGAGCCCCACAGCCUUCAACCCGCACGAUCAGAGUCGGAACCGUGUGCUUGGAUCUCCCCUGAGCCCACAGACUGGACGCCAGAUGCCGGGCCCCUAGGAGUGUCCGCAGCUACCGGAGCGGACCUGAGCUCUGCCGAAGGCGGGGACCCGGCAGCCCGGGGCCCCUCCCGGCCAAGGGACACUGGGGGUGCGGAGGGGACGCUCCGGGGAAUAAAAUAUGGCCCUGUGC